AGAUGGAUUGGUGCCUUCGGGAACUUAGAUACAGGUGCUGCAUGGCUGUCGUCAGCUCGUGUCGUGAGAUGUUGGGUUAAGUCCCGNAACGAGCGCAACCCUUUUCCUUAUUUGCCAGCGGGUCAUGCCGGGAACUUUAAGGAUACUGCCAGUGACAAACUGGAGGAAGGCGGGGACGACGUCAAGUCAUCAUGGCCCUUACGGCCAGGGCUACACACGUGCUACAAUGGUCGGUACAAAGGGUUGCUACCUCGCGAGAGGAUGCUAAUCUCAAAAAGCCGAUCGUAGUCCGGAUCGCAGUCUGCAACUCGACUGCGUGAAGUCGGAAUCGCUAGUAAUCGCGGAUCAGAAUGCCGCGGUGAAUACGUUCCCGGGCCUUGUACACACCGCCCGUCACACCAUGGGAGUUUGUUGCACCAGAAGUAGGUAGUCUAACCGCAAGGAGGACGCUUACCACGGUGUGGCCGAUGACUGGGGUGAAGUCGUAACAAGGUAAGCGUAGAUGA
rnacentral:rRNA from 1 species